AAAUUGAAGAGUUUGAUCAUGGCUCAGAUUGAACGCUGGCGGCAGGCCUAACACAUGCAAGUCGAGCGGCAGCGGGAAAG
rnacentral:rRNA from 1 species